rnacentral:lncRNA from 1 species
AACUCCACAGCACAGGGUGGUUAGGGGCGGUGAGCGGGGGAGGACGCGAACAGGAGUUGGAACGAAGUCGCGCUGAGUGAGCUAGUAGAGGCACCAGGAACUGGGCCAGUGGGUCUCCGGUAUUAGUCAUCUGCGAAUCGCUUGUUUCACGCUGAAGAAACUCUCGCGAUACGCUCGAAAUCUUUCCGAGUAGACAACACCGUAUGAGUAGAAAAAAAACAGCGGAAAAAAUUCGAAAUAAAAAGCCUCAUUUACUUGACGCAAACGUCGAUCGUUCGAAUAACAUUUUACGUGUUUUGUGCUUCAAGAUGAUCGUUCUUUUUCCCCGACUAUGCUUUUCACCCACGACGAUCGAUCGAUCAUAAUUUCACCAUAUUAUUUUUAAUUGUUUUCAGUUCCACUGCCACUCGCCAUCUCUCACGAAUCUACCUUAUUUGUCUACUUUAUUUUAUCUCCGUUCUGUGAAGUUUCCGUACUGUAAUUGUGCGGGAGUUUUUCCGUGUAUUCUUGACCACGAGAUUUUUAUCCGAGCGUACAUUGGACGGUUUCCGCAGUGCCGUUUCGUCGCAGGUGCUGGCUCGUGGGUUCUUCACUCAGAAGUUAUCGUCGCCUUCUUUCUCUCACUUCGUCUUCUUCUUCUUCUUCCUCGACGGGAAUACGUUGACGGUUCCUGUGAGAGCGAUAUUAUCCACAAGAUAAGUUUAACUGCUUAUAUUUUUUGUUCUCACCGCUGUGAUGCAACCUUUGCAGAUGUUUAUCGAUGUGCUUUCGUGUACAUCACGAUUGCAUAUUAAUGAGCAAUUACGGGACCUUCUUGCCUUUCUUUCUUUCUUUGUCAUCGUCACGCGGCUCUCAUAAUUAUAUAGUAGCUCGUCCCAUGAAAUACGAUUUUUCGAGGCAACUCAAAGAAAGACGAAAAUACGCGUUGUGGAUACACGCGUUAAAAAUCGAAAAGCGAGGAAAAUUAGACACGCUUUUACCCUCACGAAAACACGAAUGAAACAAGAAGAUUAUAAAUUAAUGUUAACUUGCGCAUAAUUGUUAAGGGCCAUGAACGUUAAGGGCAAACGUUGAAAUUUUAUGUGCUUUUUGUUUAUUUUAUAAAUAAAAAUUGGUUGGAUGGAUUUACAUAAAACCUCGUACACAUCUUUUACAUACUCAGUACUGAAAAAACAUUUUAAAAAAUUUAUAGAAUUAAAGAGAAUUUAUAAAUUUAAAAAGAGUAUUUAUCCUAGUUACUUGAUUCAAAUUGCAAUUGGUAGGGAAAACAUAUGUUUUCAGCAUGACCUAAUCGUUUUUUGAUGACCUUUUUUUGUCUACUUUUAUAAACAAUUUUCUACUGAGAAAUCCAUAAAAAUUCUAAUUUUUUUCUUCAAAUGGUCACCAUUUUUUUUUCUAAUCAAUAUUUUGAAAAUCCCCUACGUCAUGCGAUGGUUAAAAGCAUAUAUUAUUAUUUUCAAAAUCUUUUUGGUUUUUUGUGCUGAGAUUUUCCUUUUUUGAGAUCUGCUGUCAACGCCGAUUCAUAAGGGAUGCCAUUUUCAACACACCAUUGUACAAAAAAUACCAUGAAAAAAAUUAAAAAAAAUUUUUUUUCUUGUACUUCUGAGUAUGUAAAAAAUGUAUACAAGAUUUUAUUUGAAUUCAUCCAAUCUAUUUUUAUUUAUAAAAUAAACAAAAAACACCCAAAAUUUCAACGUUUAGACUGUUCCUAGUCCUCAAAUAUUCAACGAUCUUUUUCGGAGAAUUGGGUUUCCGUCGAUUUUAUUUAAGGCCCAACACCGAAACGAAUUAUUCGGAAACAUGAAAAAAUGAUUUGUCGACACGAAGUAUCAUGUAAAGAAUUAUUCGGUACAUUCCAGUGCGUUCCCGAGCGAAUGACAUUGCAAAAUAUGUCUCGAAAAUAACGGCAUGUGCGGCGAGAAUGAGUGUCGAGUACGAAAAAUAAUGAAGGAUUAAAAAUAUGUACGAUAAAAUAUUUAUUGAUAUUGAUAUUGAACGUAAAACGAAAUAAAACUGAAUGUCUCGUU